AUGGGCCCAGAAUUUGCUAGUGUCAUAUGGUGGUACUAUAGGGACUCUCUGAGAUUUUAGGUUAUACUUAUUUCCUGCUUUUAGUUCUUUAAUCAGUGGAGAAAAUGAAUCCAUUCCUGCACCCUCAGCAGCAUUACAAACUUUAUCUUAUUUCUUUCUGUUGCUCUUCUCUCACAAGUGCUCAGUAUCUUUAUCUUUUUGCCAUCUUUCCCUUCUACUGACUAUUUUGCCUCUAUCCAGGGGAGUUAUUACAGAUGCUUUGGUUUUGAGUUUCCACUUGGGACAUGUGUAGAAAUAGCUUUAUACUUAAGUUUUGGAGCACUCUCACACUCAUGCCAGAUAAAAGAUUUUUUUCUUCCAAUAAUGUCAAGGUAUUAUUAGAAAGGCAGUGGAGCCAAACUGUUGAGGUUUAAUCCUGGCUUUCUCCUUUUUUAAUACAAACAAACAAACAUCUAUGUAUUUUAAUACAUAACUGUUUGUGAGUGCUAAUAUAUAUGAAUGUGUACCACGUGUAUGCCUAUUGACAUCAGAGGCCAAGAUACUCCAUGAGAUUCUUCAGAACUGGAGUGACAAGCAGUUGUGAGCUGCCUAAUGCUGGUGCUGGAAACCAAGCCCUGUUCUCUAAAUUGCUGAGCCAUUGUUCCAGCAUCAGCUUUCUUAUUUCUUAAUAUCUAUUGUCAAAUCUGAAAUUUUCAAUAUACCUCAUCAUAUUCUGGUAUAAAAAAGGAAUGAUAGUAGUAUUUAAGAAUUCAUACACUGGUGUGAGGACUAACAUGCAAGUAACUUUGAUUAUACUUAGCACAUUGUAAGCAUCCAAAUUCAACAACUGUUGCUGGCUAAGGCUCAAACAAUCUCGUCACAGUUUUAGGCAACCUGGAGUUUUCUAAAGUAACAUCUGUACAUGCUUUUAUGCCUCAACCCACAACCUGUCACUUGUCCUAUGCAAAGGAUUCAGUAACCAUACUCAUCUCUGUUUACAAAACCAGAAACAUUGCUAAGUUUUGGGCAUGGGAGUUACAAGCUAGAAUGGAGGAAGUUCUUUUGUUUCAAGAGAACUGACUUUUGAGGUUAAGUGAACUUUUGCCAAGCUGAUCAAUGUUUUAGCCAAAGGAUUUGGAAACAAGGUUUACCAUGAAAGACAGAAAAUUGUUUUUCUCCAGUACUCUUUAUAUGAAUAAGCCACUGGAUUCUUCCUAAUAUUUUUUGUCAUAUCCACCAUGUCUAUUUCUUUCCUUGUUUACCAUUCUGCUUGUUUAAUGAGUCCAAUGGACUAAAUAAUUCCUUAUCUACAUUUUUCUUUCAUCGAGCUACCACCCUGAGUGCUUAAGCAGUGUUAAUCUUCCCAAAACUCUACUUCUAGAAAGUUAUUGUUCAACACAAACAAAAUUCAUUCCAAAAGAACAUUGUCCUUGGCCUGCCAUUCAAAAUCUAUAAGAAUUGGUGAUCCCAUUAGAGAGUUGAAUCACAUUUCCUGAAUGUAUCUAAACAUAAAUUUAUCUUUACAGGAAUAUGAAAAGACAGAAGUGAGAUAUCUCAAUUAACUUGGUGAUUUUACUGACCUUGCUUGUCUGCUCUAAAUUUGCAUAUAAUUAACCUUUUGGGGUCACUUACAGCAACUGAAUAGGAAGAUAAAGAAUAAUUCUUAAGCCGUUCCACAUGGGGGCAGCAAAUACUGAUGGAGGGGUUAUGUGUCCAAUACUAUGUGUCUAGGAAAGAAAAUGGGAGGCAUGGUAAAGAGAACUCCAAUACUAUCUUCCCCAUUGAUAUAAUAUCCAAUUUUCUUUUAGGUAAAGGUCAGGUUGCAGAAUCAUCAGGGUGCUUGCUAAAAAUAUAGAUAUCUGGGUCCUCAUUGCCAGGAAACCACUAAAGGUUUAUAUAGUAAUUUAUAAGUUUCACUAAGGACACAUAAGUAUAAAAGUCCUAUCUAGCAGUGUGCACCUCAGUAUUACCACCAUUCCUUAGACCCUUGCCACUUAAAUAAAAACAUCUUUUCUCCAUUUCUACAUUUGUCAAAAUCAUUUUUUCUACAUCAAGGCUGUUAUAAAUGCAUUCUUUUCUCUGAUAUCUCUCCAGAAUCAUUUUUUUGACAAAUUAUUUCUUCUUAUGCAAUGGACUGAUUAUGAAGCCUUCUCAGUCUUCUAAAGCUGCAAAGAUAUAGAAGUUUUAUCUAUACAGUCACCAUAAACCUUGAGAGAAACAUCGAAACAUCUUUGGCCUCCAAUGGUCUGGUUCAAGGCUUUAUUUCUGAAGGACAUUUUUUCUAGGUAAGUUAUUACUGUUUAGCUGUUGUAUUAGUAGCUUUUCUUAUUGCUGUUACCAAAUAAAUAUCUAACAGGACACAAGUGAAGGGGAGAAAUGUUUGCUUUGUUCUAUAGUUCAUGGGUAAAAGUCUAUCAUUUUGGUGGAUGCAGAGUAGCUUGAGUGUGAGUUGACUGAUUACACAGUAUCCACAGUGAAGAGGCAAAGCAGAGACAGGAGCAGAGGAUGGCUGCUAGAGGCCCAGAUCCUCCAGCAAGAAUCCCUUUCCAAAACUGUCCACCAUAUUCUAAAACAGUACCGACAUCAAUAGAUCAAGUGUUCAAACUCAUGUGCACUUAACAUUCAAAUUAUAUCCCCCUCUUGGUCCCCAUACGUUCAUCGACAUUUGAUGAUGUAAACCACAUUUGUUCCAAUUCUAAAACACCCCAUACUCUCUAAUAGUCUCAAGAUAUGUGAAAAUGCCAAACUCUAAGCAAAUGUUUUUCCUUUUUUCUCAGACUUAA